rnacentral:rRNA from 1 species
AAGCGUAAUAGCUCACUAGUCGAGUCGGCCUGCGCGGAAGAUGUAACGGGGCUCAAACCAUACACCGAAGCUACGGGUAUCACGUAAGUGAUGCGGUAGAGGAGCGUUCUGUAAGCCUGUGAAGGUGAGUUGAGAAGCUUGCUGGAGGUAUCAGAAGUGCGAAUGCUGACAUGAGUAACGACAAUGGGUGUGAAAAACACCCACGCCGAAAGACCAAGGUUUCCUGCGCAACGUUAAUCGACGCAGGGUUAGUCGGUCCCUAAGGCGAGGCUGAAAAGCGUAGUCGAUGGAAAACAGGUUAAUAUUCCUGUACUUCUGGUUAUUGCGAUGGAGGGACGGAGAAGGCUAGGCCAGCUUGGCGUUGGUUGUCCAAGUUUAAGGUGGUAGGCUGAGAUCUUAGGUAAAUCCGGGAUCUUAAGGCCGAGAGCUGAUGACGAGUGUUCUUUUAGAACACGAAGUGGUUGAUGCCAUGCUUCCAAGAAAAGCUUCUAAGCUUCAGGUAACCAGGAACCGUACCCCAAACCGACACAGGUGGUUGGGUAGAGAAUACCAAGGCGCUUGAGAGAACUCGGGUGAAGGAACUAGGCAAAAUGGCACCGUAACUUCGGGAGAAGGUGCGCCGGUGAGGGUGAAGGACUUGCUCCGUAAGCCCAUGCCGGUCGAAGAUACCAGGCCGCUGCGACUGUUUAUUAAAAACACAGCACUCUGCAAACACGAAAGUGGACGUAUAGGGUGUGACGCCUGCCCGGUGCCGGAAGGUUAAUUGAUGGGGUUAGCUAACGCGAAGCUCUUGAUCGAAGCCCCGGUAAACGGCGGCCGUAACUAUAACGGUCCUAAGGUAGCGAAAUUCCUUGUCGGGUAAGUUCCGACCUGCACGAAUGGCGUAACGAUGGCGGCGCUGUCUCCACCCGAGACUCAGUGAAAUUGAAAUCGCUGUGAAGAUGCAGUGUAUCCGCGGCUAGACGGAAAGACCCCGUGAACCUUUACUAUAGCUUUGCACUGGACUUUGAAUUUGCUUGUGUAGGAUAGGUGGGAGGCUUUGAAGCGUGGACGCCAGUCUGCGUGGAGCCAUCCUUGAAAUACCACCCUGGCAACUUUGAGGUUCUAACUCAGGUCCGUUAUCCGGAUCGAGGACAGUGUAUGGUGGGUAGUUUGACUGGGGCGGUCUCCUCCUAAAGAGUAACGGAGGAGUACGAAGGUGCGCUCAGACCGGUCGGAAAUCGGUCGUAGAGUAUAAAGGCAAAAGCGCGCUUGACUGCGAGACAGACACGUCGAGCAGGUACGAAAGUAGGUCUUAGUGAUCCGGUGGUUCUGUAUGGAAGGGCCAUCGCUCAACGGAUAAAAGGUACUCCGGGGAUAACAGGCUGAUACCGCCCAAGAGUUCAUAUCGACGGCGGUGUUUGGCACCUCGAUGUCGGCUCAUCACAUCCUGGGGCUGAAGCCGGUCCCAAGGGUAUGGCUGUUCGCCAUUUAAAGUGGUACGCGAGCUGGGUUUAGAACGUCGUGAGACAGUUCGGUCCCUAUCUGCCGUGGACGUUUGAGAUUUGAGAGGGGCUGCUCCUAGUACGAGAGGACCGGAGUGGACGAACCUCUGGUGUUCCGGUUGUCACGCCAGUGGCAUUGCCGGGUAGCUAUGUUCGGAAUAGAUAACCGCUGAAAGCAUCUAAGCGGGAAACUAGCCUCAAGAUGAGAUCUCACUGGAACCUUGAGUUCCCUGAAGGGCCGUCGAAGACUACGACGUUGAUAGGUUGGGUGUGUAAGCGCUGUGAGGCGUUGAGCUAACCAAUACUAAUUGCCCGUGAGGCUUGACCAU